rnacentral:rRNA from 1 species
UACGGAGGAUCCAAGCGUUAUCCGGAAUUACUGGGCGUAAAGAGUUGCGUAGGUGGCAUAGUAAGUAGAUAGUGAAAUCGUGUGGCUCAACCAUGCAUCCAUUAUCUAAACUGCUGAGCUAGAGUAUGAGAGAGGUAGAUGGAAUUCCCUGUGUAGGAGUGAAAUCCGUAGAUAUAGGGAGGAACACCGAUGGCGUAGGCAGUCUACUGGCUCAUUACUGACACUAAGGCUCGAAAGCGUGGGUAGCAAACGGG